rnacentral:rRNA from 1 species
AGGCAGCAGUUAGGAAUAUUGGACAAUGGGCGAAAGCCUGAUCCAGCCAUGCCGCGUGUGUGAAGAAGGUCUUCGGAUUGUAAAGCACUUUAAGUUGGGAGGAAGGGCAGUAAGUUAAUACCUUGCUGUUUUGACGUUACCGACAGAAUAAGCACCGGCUAACUCUGUGCCAGCAGCCGCGGUAAUACAGAGGGUGCAAGCGUUAAUCGGAAUUACUGGGCGUAAAGCGCGCGUAGGUGGUUUGUUAAGUUGGAUGUGAAAUCCCCGGGCUCAACCUGGGAACUGCAUUCAAAACUGACAAGCUAGAGUAUGGUAGAGGGUGGUGGAAUUUCCUGUGUAGCGGUGAAAUGCGUAGAUACCGGAAGGAACGCCAAUAGCGAAAGCAGCUACCUGGACGAUUUGUGACGCUGAGGCGCGAAAGCGUGGGGAGCAAACCGGAUUAGAUACCCUAGUAGUCC